rnacentral:rRNA from 1 species
GUUGUCGUCAGCUCGUGUCGUGAGAUGUUGGGUUAAGUCCCGCAACGAGCGCAACCCUUAAGCUUAGUUGCCAUCAUUAAGUUGGGCACUCUAAGUUGACUGCCGGUGACAAACCGGAGGAAGGUGGGGAUGACGUCAAAUCAUCAUGCCCCUUAUGAUUUGGGCUACACACGUGCUACAAUGGACAAUACAAAGGGCAGCGAAACCGCGAGGUCAAGCAAAUCCCAUAAAGUUGUUCUCAGUUCGGAUUGUAGUCUGCAACUCGACUACAUGAAGCUGGAAUCGCUAGUAAUCGUAGAUCAGCAUGCUACGGUGAAUACGUUCCCGGGUCUUGUACACACCGCCCGUCACACCACGAGAGUUUGUAACACCCGAAGCCGGUGGAGUAACCUU